rnacentral:lncRNA from 1 species
GCUGCGCCAGCUGCAGGGUGGUCUCGGUCAGGGCCUCGCGAAGGCGCUCGUUCUCACUGCGCAGCUCGGCGUACAGCUGCGGGCCCAGGAGGGACAGGGCGUCAGGCUCGCCGGCAGAGACGCGGCAGGCUUGCGGGGGUGGGGUGGGUGGCUGCGGCCCGGCUGAGGCCGGAAGGGCGCAGAGUGCGCGGGUGGGUCAGGCAGGGCCCCUGGGCAGGGGGCGGCAGGGCAGGGAUACAAAGCCAACUGACGGGGGCUCAGUUAACGGUGGGGUCGCGAACCUUCCUGAAGCCUCCGUCCGGCUCGUCCGGUUCCGGCUCUGGGUCUGGGUUGAGGUCCCGCUGCCUGCGGGAUGAGGGAUCGCCCUCGGGAGUGCUGCGGUGGGGGCGGGGAGGCCGUCAUGGGGCGCCCACGGCCCCACGACAGCCCAGACCCGGCCUGCCCGCCCCAUACCUGGAUUCUGGGCUGCGGUCGGCCGGCGCCGGCUCCGCCUCCUCCCCCUGCGGGCGGAGGUGGGGUUCAGCGGGGAGGGGAGCUGGGCCCGCCCCCAGGCCCACCCGCGGCCCGCCGGGCGCCACCCCUCACCUCGGCAGGGCCCCUCCACUCCUUGCCGACUCUGCGGGGCUCCCUGGCCGCCUGCGGCCCCUGCCCUUGCCCGUCGGGCGCCUCUGCUGGGGGAGGGGCAGGAAUCAGCCCAAUGCUGGACAAGGGGUCCCUGGGCCCGACCCCCAGGAAAACCGGACGCGGGCCAGGAGGACUACCUCCCAGAGACCAGCCUCACCUCUCUGGGCUGGGCCAUCAGUGCUCUCGACCCCGGGGACUCGGGGUCGCCGGGAAGGGUCCUGUGGGGAGGGGCGGGGGUCAGAGAAUGAGGGCAUCUCUUCCCACCCACUGACCGAUCACCUGACCCCUCUCACCAGGCUCUGCACGCUCGACUUCUCGGCCUCCGGGGCCUUUCCUGCGGCCUUCUCUGCUUCCUUCAGGUCCGUCAGGGUCACACCCUGCACGGGAGUGGGCAGUCGGGGUGGGGGGGCCAGCCCCUUCAGGAUGGAGUCCAGGCCCCUGGCCCCUCCUCCCUCAGACCGGGGUCCGUCCCCUCCCACACCUGCGUGGACCUCCGAGACUGGCGCAUGA